rnacentral:rRNA from 1 species
AUUGAACGCUGGCGGCAGGCCUAACACAUGCAAGUCGAGCGGAUGAAGAGAGCUUGCUCUCUGAUUCAGCGGCGGACGGGUGAGUAAUGCCUAGGAAUCUGCCUGGUAGUGGGAGACAACGUUUCGAAAGGAACGCUAAUACCGCAUACGUCCUACGGGAGAAAGCAGGGGACCUUCGGGCCUUGCGCUAUCAGAUGAGCCUAGGUCGGAUUAGCUAGUAGGUGAGGUAAUGGCUAACCUAGGCGACGAUCCGUAACUGGUCUGAGAGGAUGAACAGUCACACUGGAACUGAGACACGGGCCAGACUCAUACGGGAGGCAGCAGUGGGGAAUAUUGGACAAUGGGCGAAAGCCGGAUACAGCCAUGCCGCGUGUGUGAAGAAGGUCUUCGGAUUGUAAAGCACUUUAAGUUGGGAGGAAGGGCAGUAAGUUAAUACCUUGCUGUUUUGACGUUACCAACAGAAUAAGCACCGGCUAACUUCGUGCCAGCCGCCGCCGUAAGAC